UUUGUUUUCCAUUGUGAGAAA
rnacentral:piRNA from 1 species